rfam:Ipomoea nil DNA, scaffold: scaffold2662, cultivar: Tokyo-kokei standard.
GUUGAGAUGGCCGAGUUGGUCUAAGGCGCCAAAUUAAGGUUUUGGUCCGAAAGGGUGUGGGUUCAAAUCCCACUCUCAAUA